GAAAGUGGUAUUGUUCAUGGGAUUCCUUCUAAUGCAUCACCACUUGGUUCUCUCAAAUUCAAUGCAGGAUCCUUUUGUGAGAAAUGACAGAAGCCUUAAAGAUUCGCUGCCGCCGCCGCCGCCGCCAUACCAUUCCAAAUCGUACCGCCAGCUGGACGCGCCUCUGGCUCCGCCAUACCGCCGGCGCCGGUAACUCCGUCGAUGCUUAAAAUUUUAAGUUUGUUUUUUGCAGCAGUUUUUUAUGAGUUAAGUUAGAAAUGCUUGAG
rnacentral:lncRNA from 1 species